GUAGGAACUUCGCGUUCCCACCCUCCAGGGGAGGAGAUUGGAUCAGGCGCCAGCCUUGAGGUGUCUGAUUGGAGAAAAGCUGUGCAGUGCCGCUCCCCCGACCGACUCCUUGAGAAGAAACGGCGGAGACCUGAGACCCGGAGGCUGAGGCUGUAGGUGGGCUCCGCUGGGUAAAAGUUGCCGCAGCAGCUGUCCCUUGGCCCCAUCGCGAUUUAUUUUUCCCCCUUGCUUUCCGGGUCCCGGGAUCCCAAGUUUGUAACUAACGGGAGCGAAUCCACACCCGAGCAAAAUGUUUGCGAGUUUCAGGCGCCCUUAGUUGAAAGGCUGUAAUUAACAAGUCCGCUGUUUGCCAGCCAGGCGCCGUUGCAGGCGCUUUCUGUGGAUUGUCAUUUAUUUCUCACAGCAACCCUAGGAGGCUGUUAUCCUUGACAUCUGCAGCAGCCCUUCCAAGCUGUGGAGACCAGGUCAUCUGGAAUGCCCAUUUAUGUCAAUGGAAGAAAGAAAAAGGGGUCUCCUCCCAUCCUCACCACUGCAUUCUCCCACCAACCCUGCUCCUGUCCCACUUCCCACAACUCAGUUGUUGACAAUUUAACAGUGGGUUUCUGGAAACAGUGCUGCCUCCUUGAUGGUCUAACUAACUACCAGAGUUAUUCUAACAGCAGGAAUUUCAAGCCAGCAAACCAGACAUACAUAGGAGGCACAGCAAAAGACCCAAGGUGAGGGGCUUCCCUCACCUUCACCCUUGUUCUCACGUGGAGGUGGCGCAUGUCUAUGAGACACAGUACCCCACUCAGCGAUCCUCUGCAGUCCAGGAAAUUCUAGCACUUGCUUGGAAAACAAAUCAAGUGCCUGUUGGCUUUUUGUGAGCUGCCUAUGGAGAAAUGCACAUGGCAAGGAACUGAGGGUUGCCUCCAGCAAACUGCUGGUGAGGGAGUGAGGCCUUCAGUCCAACAGCCUUUAAGGAACUGAAUCCUGCCAACAACCAUGUGAGUGGGCUUGGAGAUGGAUGCUACCACCAUCAAGCCUUCAGGAGUGAAUUUUUUUGUUCUUGAGACAGCGUCUCAUUCUGUUGCCCAGGAUGGAGUACAGUGGUGCCAUCUUCGCUCACUGCAGCCUUCGUCUCCCGGGUUCAAGCAAUUCUCCUGUCUCAGCCUCCCAAGUAGCUGGGAUUACAGACCCAUCAAGCCUUCAGAUAAGACUGCAGCCUCAUUACAGACCUUGAACUGGAGGCAGCCAGCUGAGUCACACCUGGAUUCCUGACCCUUAGAAACUAUGAGAUAAUAAAUGUUUACAGUUUUAAGCCACUAAGUUUCG
rnacentral:lncRNA from 10 species